rnacentral:sRNA from 1 species
UUUUAGCCCCGAUUGUAGCGAUAUCCUUUUGAUUUGUUUUUGUUAAAUAAUAGAGCCAAUCAAAAGAUAAAGCAGAAAGCGGGAAAAUGG